GAUGAAGAACGUAGCGAAAUGCGAUAAGUAAUGUGAAUUGCAGAAUUCAGUGAAUCAUCGAAUCUUUGAACGCACAUUGCGCCCGCCAGUAUUCUGGCGGGCAUGCCUGUUCGAGCGUCAUUACAACCCUCAGGCCCCCGGGCCUGGCGUUGGGGAUCGGCGGAAGCCCCCUGCGGGCACAACGCCGUCCCCCAAAUACAGUGGCGGUCCCGCCGCAGCUUCCAUUGCGUAGUAGCUAACACCUCGCAACUGGAGAGCGGCGCGGCCACGCCGUAAAACACCCAACUUCUGAAUGUUGACCUCGAAUCAGGUAGGAAUACCCGCUGAACUUAAGCUUAUCAAUAAGCGGAGGA
rnacentral:misc_RNA from 1 species